UCUGAUACGUCCCCCAUCGGGGGGAUACAUAUUAAAUGGAUUUUUCGAACAGGGAGUCGGAAAUGGGGCUUGCUCCGUCCGCUCCACGCAUCGACCCGGUAUUGCAGUACCUCCGGGAACGGUGCAACACUU
rnacentral:snRNA from 8 species